CUUUGGGAAGCAUGUCUUGCUGUGUGGCAUAGGGUGAGCAGGCUCUGCUGGGGAGCAAGUAGCUUGCAUUCUCUGCUUCACAAAUUAAUGCUUUACUAGGAAUGAAGGACCUCGAGUCUGCCCUUCUGACAGCAAAGAUGAUGGAAAGGUCUUUUUUUUCAUAUUUUUUUUUCCACUAGCAGAAGCAUAUGCUGCUCAUCUCAUUCCUACUGAUAGCCCAGGAAUGCUGCAUCCCAGCAGCGAUGGCCCUGUGCCUCACCCAGCAGAUAACAGCCCUGUUCUGCACUCGGAUAUGGACGCAUAAAGCCAGCAGCAGUACUCAUGCAAAAAUCAUGAGAUUAAGCACCAGUUUGAGAAUCCUGCAAACAGGGAAGAUGCUUGUGGAGGCCAUGGAGAGGACACACAAAGUGCUGACAUUGCUGCCCGAAGAACAAAAGAGGAAACUUCUUAUCUGCCAGUUUUCCUUGUGCUCCCUGGAUGUGCACAUUGUUCCACCAAGAGAGAUUGCAGCUGCUCUACAGCUGCAGAAAAACCAGUUGCUAGAAUUCAAACAGCAAAUUUCAUUUUAUUUUUAACCCAGACACUUUCCUAUGCAGAUGCUGAUGCCUUGUUGCUUCAGCACUGUAUGGGUUUGCUCAUAUCCCAGUGCCUUUUUUUUUGUUGUUGUUCAGAGCCUGGUCCUUCUUUCUGGAUAGGGAGCGAGCUGAGAAGUUUGUGUCCAUACAGAUUCCUAGCACGUUUCUUGUUGGUUAUUGACUGAACCAGGACAGAUGUUCAUCUCAGAAUGCAUGCUGAUCCCAGGGUUCAGCAGCUGGUUCUGCUUUUCCUCUGGCUUAUACCACAACAUGUACAUCUCAUUUGACUUCCUUUCCUUUUGCAUCAAAAUGCUUUCCGGAAGGUGAAAGCUACGUGAGAAAUCAGUGUUCUCUGUCGUAAGUUGAGGUGGGCUUUAAUCAUCAGCUGCAUCCAAAGGAGCGCUGCACUACUGAUUAGACCAGCCACAGGAUUGCUUAAGGGCAAGUGUGAAAAAACCCAAUUCCUUUUUACUUUGGUUUCCUGAAGUACUGCCUUUUGAAGCGUCCUCCUUCGAAAGCAAACACAGUGAAACAGCAAGGCACAGGAAAUAUUUUUAUCUCUGUAGCUGGUCAAGGUAAACCCUAUGAGGAGUGUUGACCUCCGCUAGCUAUGUCAUCUCGUAUUUGUUGGGCUGGCACAUGAGAUAACUGGCUACCUGGAAUCAGCCAGCAACACAUUCCCUUCUCAUUAACUCAUUUGUUUGUCAGUAACUUCAGGGGGAGCUUUGAGCACUUUCAGUUUCUGCUCCUGGAAGAAUUAGUGACGAUGGGUGUAGGGCUCACCAUAGGAUGUAUAGCAAGUACCGAAAGCCUUUGGGGUUUUAGAUCCACCUAAGCAACAGGCAGAAGAGCAGUGCUGUUGCUGCUGGCAGAGUGAGAAGAGAGGAGUAAGAAACAGCCUCUUUGGCAGGUGCCUCUUUCCCUUGCCCCAAGUGUAAGAAGAAGU
ensembl:lncRNA